rnacentral:lncRNA from 1 species
CGCGCGGGCAAGGAGGGACGCAGACACUCAGGACCUAAAGGGGAAGCACUGGCUGUGGAGCUGCGAGCCGAGAAAGACGCGCAGGUUAUGAACCUGGGUGCGUUCAUCUCGGGGGACCUGAAGGAGAGGGACUCGUGGAGAGUUGAGGGGUGUUUCGGAGGAGGGGCGCAAGGACUGCUCACAGGACUUGAAGGGCGGCAGGAAGGUGGAGGAUUCGGCCCAGGUGCGGGACGCAGGCGGUGGAAGGGAAAUGAGCACAAGAGGCGCAGGCAGGAAGGAGAGCGCCUGGUGCGAGAGAGGAAGGAGCGCACCCAUCCCUGCUUUGAUAACCACAGGCAGCUACGGGAAAGAGUGGGAAAAGUGAGAUAGUCCCAAGAAACAGG